rnacentral:lncRNA from 1 species
UGAUUGCAUACAAUAAAGACUUGUGCUCCCAAGUUCCUGUGUCCCGGGUGUUCUGUUGAACAAAGAACUACUGCUCAAUGAGGCAGUGGCCAGAGACGUCUGAAGACCUGGGAUAAGGGAUAUAAAGGCAAAAAUGAAGCAACUUACUAAUGGCAUAGCGAGAAGAACACGAGUUCUGAAAUCCAAAGACCUGCCUUCAGAUCCCAGCUCUGAUGCAAAGUUCCUGAAUCUUAAAGAGAAUGACUUUCUCAUCAUUCCUUGGUUCCCUCAAG